rfam:Verrucomicrobium spinosum DSM 4136 chromosome, whole genome shotgun sequence.
CACCGGGUGGAAGUCCCGGCUGGCUAUAUCGCUCCGGCCAGAAGCACUGGGGGCGGUUCAAGAGGUGACAAAUGAAUCGAAGUACUUCCAGAAAAGGCUCCGUAGGGAGUCAGCGAUCAUGCGGGCUGCAAUGUAG